AUUGAACGCUGGCGGCAUGCUUUACACAUGCAAGUCGAACGGCAGCGCGGGCUUCGGCCUGGCGGCGAGUGGCGAACGGGUGAGUAAUGCAUCGGAACGUGCCCAGUAGUGGGGGAUAGCCCGGCGAAAGCCGGAUUAAUACCGCAUACGACCUGAGGGUGAAAGCGGGGGACCGAAAGGCCUCGCGCUAUUGGAGCGGCCGAUGUCGGAUUAGCUAGUUGGUGGGGUAAAGGCUUACCAAGGCGACGAUCCGUAGCUGGUCUGGGAGGACGACCAGCCACACUGGGGACUGGACACGGCCCCUGCUCCUAAGGGAGGCCGCAGUUGGGAAUUUUGGACAAUGGGGGCAACCCUGAUCCAGCCAUGCCGCGUGCGGGAAGAAGGCCUUCGGGUUGUAAACCGCUUUUGUUCGGGAAGAAAUCCUCUGGGCUAAUACCUCGGGGGGAUGACGGUACCGGAAGAAUAAGCACCGGCUAACUACGUG
rnacentral:rRNA from 1 species